GACGAACGCUGGCGGCGUGCCUAAUACAUGCAAGUCGAGCGAAGUUUUUCUGGUGCUUGCUCUAGAAAAACUUAGCGGCGAACGGGUGAGUAACACGUAAAGAACCUGCCUCAUAGACUGGGACAACUAUUGGAAACGAUAGCUAAUACCGGAUAACAGUAUUUCUCGCAUGAGAGAUAUUUAAAAGUUGGUUAUGCUAACACUAUGAGAUGGCUUUGCGGUGCAUUAGCUAGUUGGUGGGGUAAAGGCCCACCAAGGCGACGAUGCAUAGCCGACCUGAGAGGGUGAUCGGCCACACUGGGACUGAGACACGGCCCAGACUCCUACGGGAGGCAGCAGUAGGGAAUCUUCCGCAAUGGGCGAAAGCCUGACGGAGCAACGCCGCGUGAGUGAAGAAGGACUUCGGUUCGUAAAGCUCUGUUGUUAGGGAAGAAUGGAUAUGUAGUAACUAUACAUGUAAGAGACGGUACCUAACCAGAAAGCCACGGCUAACUACGUG
rnacentral:rRNA from 1 species